rnacentral:rRNA from 1 species
UACGUAGGGGGCAAGCGUUGUCCGGAUUUAUUGGGCGUAAAGAGCGUGUAGGCGGCCAAGCAGGUCCGCUGUGAAAACUCGAGGCUCAACCUCGAGACGUCGGUGGAAACCGUUUGGCUAGAGUCCGGAAGAGGAGAGUGGAAUUCCCGGUGUAGCGGUGAAAUGCGCAGAUAUCGGGAAGAACACCCGUGGCGAAGGCGGCUCCCUGGUCCGUCCCUGACGCUGAGACGCGAAAGCGCGGGGAGCGAACGGG